rnacentral:lncRNA from 1 species
GCAUGCUGUGAAGCCAGAAUAACUGGGUCUUACUUGGUAAGCAUGGAUCCCUCUGCAGAAUUUUCCUACUAUGGAAUGUCUGACUUUAUUUGUCUUUUUCUAAGGAGUCCUCUGCUGGCUUCCCUUAAAUAGGGCUGACUUGCUUAUUUCAAUCAGUUAAUUUUCUCCUUGUAAUUUAUUUAAUAUUAUAUUAAGAAAUAAUCGUGCUUGUAGCAUGUUUUCAUAAAGUAUCGUGUUUAUCUUAUAUCUCUUCAAGCAAAUAGAAAUUUUCUCCAUUAUACAUGGCAUUUUUUAAGCUUUUCACUGCAAGUUGACCCAAAGAACAUCAGCUUCAACAGAAGAAAUUGCUGGUACAGCUGCAUGAAAUUUAGACAGUGACCAGAUGUCAUCCCCACCGCUCAGUCUUUGCAGUUAGCCCUGCUGACAGCAUCUUCCUGACAGCGUUAUUCUGAGGAACAUUGUAACAUUGUCAAGUGCAGUAAAUCAGGUCUAAAAGGCCAGAAAAAAUGUAUUAAAUAAAACAGAGAACUGAACGACACAGAAAAUUGCCGAAAAGUUUUUUUUUUUCCUUCUUCCUUUUUUUUUUCCUGAAAAUUCUGGACAUCAGAAAAAGGUCUGAAGCAGAACUUGUAUUGCAGCAGCAACUUCACAUGUUGAAAAUUUCCAGUACAGAAAUGGAGCUGUACAAGCUGGGGAGAAAGUAGA